AUGAGGGGCGUCACCACUGAGCUAUAAUAUAUCUGGAGGAAGUGCUCCUAUCUCUCUUCAGUCAAGCAAGUGAAGCCAAAAACAUGGCGGAUUUCCAAGGAUUUUCACGUUUGCUGACGCCAGAAUGACGCCACUGGUCCCAAAUCCUCGUGGUAAUUACCACUGGCCAACCGCGAUCCUCAGCUUCAGACGACAAUUUCACCCCCCUGGUUUUUGAAAAAAGCCUGAAACUCUGCUGAAAGUUUAUAUAAAAAAACACAUCAAGAAAAAAUGCCGACUUUUUGCAUGGCUUCAUGAUGCCACAAUUCUUUAUCAAGAAGAAACACUUCUUUUUACCGGUAAGAUGUAUUAAAUGCUUCAUUUGUACUAAAUAAAUACCGUUUUUUGCAAGAAAAAUUGGAUACGAAAUUUACAAAUAUAACGACGCUGUACAUCAGCUGGUAUUUUUCUGCCUUUACUCACUUUUCUUUAUGUUUUAUUUUGCCAUUUGGGUAGGUUAUAGUUUUCGUUUUCCUCUGGAGUCCUUACCCAAAGAUCCAACAUCAAUUUCACAUACAGUAUAGCAACAGAAAUGCCUCAAAAUGAUGGACAAAUGGCCUGUCAAGUCCCAACUUAUCCUAGGGUUUAAAUAUAUUGUCAUAGGACUAGGAGGCCAAAUAUAUGGUUGUAAUGGGCACAAAACAGAUCAAAACUGUUCCUAAUAAGUGUUUCUGUAGGAUUAAGUGUUGAAUAAAAGCUUGCAAGGCUCACACUACAAAUUUGAGUUGUGAUUUUAAUAGACAAUUUUAAUUUUUUUUCAUGGCUAAGUGGCUAUUAACAGUAGGAGGCCCAAUACCUAGUUGUACAAGUAAAGUUUAUAAGUUCAUAUAUAAAAAGGCCAGCAAAUAGUCAUGAAUUCCUCUUGACAAAAAUGAAUUAUGGAUAAUACAUAGAAAUAGAAGUCAAUGGGUGAAUAAGGGAUGCCUAUUUCACAACACUCUAAAUGACAUAUUUUAAUAUUUGAAAAUUGAAAGGAAAAAAUAUGUUCAAUAGCAUGUUGACCAAAUUAUAUAGAUAAUAUAGUACAUGACUGAUUGGAUGUAUUCUAUUACACUUUUCCAGAUACGAAGAAAAAUCCUGAGAUGUGUAGAAAACUUGGAGAAUGCCCUGCAUGGUUAAAUGUCAUGCCAUGCACAAAAGGGAAUGACACCUUUGUUCGAAGCAAUUAGUAUAUUCCACUUAACUCAUUGAGCACCAGCACUCUCCCCUUCACAAAUAAAAUUGUCUGCCAUUAGACAGAAUAUAAUAAUAAAGUAGGGUGCACUGGGGCACAUUGCCACUUAUCAAAGGCUUAACAAAUACUGGUCAAUCCAUGGAGUGAUAAAGCUCUCCCCAUGCAUUUACAAGUAUAUUUGUCUGGCAUUUGACAGGAAAAUUACAUGGUGCAUUGCCACUUAUCAACUCUCUUGUUCCCU